UGAGGAAUAUUGCGCAAUGGAGGAAACUCUGACGCAGCGACGCCGCGUGAAGGAUGAAUGCCCUCUGGGUUGUAAACUUCUGUAGAGAGGGAAGAAUGUCCGCCUUCGGCGGAUUGACGGUACCUCUAAAGUAAGCAUCGGCUAACUACGUGCCAGCAGCCGCGGUAAUACGGAGGGUGCGAGCGUUGUUCGGAAUUACUGGGCGUAAAGCGCGUGCAGGCGGUCUCUUAAGUCUGGUGUGAAAGCCCGGGGCUCACCCCCGGAAGGGCACUGGAGACUGGGAGGCUAGAGUACCGGAGAGGAAGGUGGAAUUCCUGGUGUAGCGGUGAAAUGCGUAGAUAUCAGGAGGAACACCGGUGGCGAAGGCGGCCUUCUGGACGGCUACUGACGCUGAGACGCGAAAGCGUGGGGAGCAAACA
rnacentral:rRNA from 1 species